rnacentral:tRNA from 1 species
ACUUAAGUAAUUUAAUAAAAAAUAUUGAUUUGUGGAGUCAAUUAUGCAGGAUUUUGCCUUAGGUU